CAGAAAAUCAGCACACUGACUCAUAUAAUUUUGGUAAUAUGGUCCAAAAGUCUCUACCAGACAACCGUAAAUUGUCUAGCUAUGGGUGAAAGUGUAUCUAGG
rnacentral:ncRNA from 1 species